rnacentral:rRNA from 1 species
AGCAGCAGCCACGGGAAUACGAAGGUCCCGAGCGUUGUCCGGAUUUAUUGGGCGUAAAGCGAGCGCAGGCGGUUAGAUAAGUCUGAAGUUAAAGGCUGUGGCUUAACCAUAGUACGCUUUGGAAACUGUUUAACUUGAGUGCAAGAGGGGAGAGUGGAAUUCCAUGUGUAGCGGUGAAAUGCGUAGAUAUAUGGAGGAACACCGGUGGCGAAAGCGGCUCUCUGGCUUGUAACUGACGCUGAGGCUCGAAAGCGUGGGGAGCAAACAGGAUUAGAUACCCGCGUAGUCCCUGUCUCUUAUACC